UAAAUAAUCACUAGGGGAAGA
rnacentral:piRNA from 1 species